rnacentral:rRNA from 1 species
UAAUUUGACUGUACAAAGGUAGCAUAAUCAUUAGUCAUUUAAUUGAUGACUUGUAUGAAAGAUUGGAUGAGAUAUUAACUGUCUCUUAGUUAUAAUUAGAAUUUAAUUUUUUAAUUAAAAAGUUAAAAUAAAUUAAAAAGACGAGAAGACCCUAUAGAGUUUUAUAAUUUUAUUAAUUAAGAUUAUUUAUAAAUUAUUAUUAUUAAAAUUAUUAAAAUUAUUUUGUUGGGGUGACAGAAAAAUAGAUUUAACUUUUUUUAUUAUAAAACAUAUAUAAGUGAAAAUAUGAUCCAAUAAUAUUGAUUAUAAGAAAAAAUUACCUUAGGGAUAACAGCGUAAUUUUUUUUUUUAGUUCGUAUAAAAAAAAGAGUUUGCGACCUCGAUGUUGGAUUAAGAUAAAAUUUAAAUGCAGAAG